rnacentral:rRNA from 1 species
UACGUAGGGGGCAAGCGUUGUCCGGAUUUAUUGGGCGUAAAGAGCGUGUAGGCGGCCAUACAGGUCAGCUGUGAAAGCGCCUGGCUUAACCGGGCGAGGUCGGUGGAAACUCCUGGUCUAGAGGCCGGUAGAGGGGGGUGGAAUUCCGGGUGUAGUGGUGAAAUGCGUAGAGAUCCGGAGGAACACCCGUGGCGAAGGCGGCCCCCUGGGCCGCGCCUGACGCUGAGACGCGAAAGCGCGGGGAGCGAACGGG